rnacentral:lncRNA from 1 species
AGGAGUCUGCGUGAAUCCGGCCCUCAUGGUCGAAUUGCUGCAAAAAAAACACUACUAAAGAACACCAAUAAGAAGAAAAGACUUGCUUGGGCCAAGAAACACGAAAAAUUGACAUUAGACCAGUGGAAAUCUAAAUUUGAGAUUUUUGGUUCCAACUUCUGUGUCUUUGUGAGAUGCAGAGUAGGUGAACGGAUGAUCUCUACAUGCAGGGUUCCCACCGUGAAGCAUGGAGGAGGUGUGGGGGAGCCUUGCUGGUGACACUGUCUGUGAUUUAGUUACAAUUCAGGGCAUACUUAACCAGCAUGGCUACCACAGCAUUCUGCAGCGAUACUAACGGAACGGAGCGAACGGAACUGCAAACACAUGGAAACCAUAUGUCUGCUGCAUCAGACGACCUGGCCUCCACAAUCACCCGACCUCAACCCAAUUGAGAUGGUUUGGGAUGAGUUGGACCGCAGAAUUAAGGAAAAGCAGCCAACAAGUGCUAAGCAUUUUUGGGAUCUCCUUCAAGACUGUUGGAAAAGCAUUCCAGGUGAAGCUGGUUGAGAGAAUGCCAAGAGUGUGCAAAGCUGUCAAGGCAAAGGGUGGCUACUUUGAACACUUUUUUGGUUAAUACAUGAUUUCAUAGUUUUGAUGUCUUCACUAUUAUUCUACAAUGUAGAAAAUAGUACAAAUAAAGAAAAGCCCUUGAAUGAGUAGGUGUGUCCAAACCUUUGACUGGUACUGUAUGUACUUAGGUUGUUACACUACACACAGAGAGUACAAUGCCAUGCUGCCUGUUGUGGCUGAGGAUCAGCGCGGCUUUGAGGAGAUCCCCCUCUGAGUGGAACGUGACUGCCAAAGUCACAUCAUCAUGAGACUGGCGUACACACAGACAAACAUGAAGAACUUGGUUAGAAGAACACAUAUUUUCUUCAUCUCAUCUUUACGGACUCACAAUACUUCCUUUAUAUAUCUUAUAAAGGUAACCUUCCGAGACUCCAUCCCCUUUAUUUGCUCUAGCUUUAAAGAUGAGAGGGAAUCGAAGAUUGACCAAUGCACUACAAAAUGUAGUCAUCCACUGUGUGUGCCUCAAGAGACAGGUAUAGCAUGAUGGAAAGGUUAUGUUAAAUAUGUGUUUUUAUUUCUUUACAAGAAAUUCCAUGAAGUAAAAUCAAUGAAAAACAAAUACUAUUCAGCUGAUUAUCGGGUAGCUUCAUUGUGUUGUAAUUGAAGUCUGUUUUGUUAUCUCCUCAUUGCUAGAGGGUACAACCAGUGUGGAAUCGCAGGUCGUUCCCUCUACCCUCUAUGUGAAAAACCUUCCUCUGCAGAGUUGGUGUCAAUCCCAUUUCUAUUCCAAACAGUUAAAUAAAGGCAAGGUUUUUCAUCCUAAAAAUACAAUUACAUGUCUGAAAAAAUUGGAAAUGAAACUGGCACCAACUCCGGUAGGGUGUUCAUUAGUAAAAACUAUUCAACUGGUUGCAUAUUGACUACUUCAAAGAUAGCCUACCAUUGCUAAUUCCUGUGGUGUUGCUGAUAAUGGAAGGUUGUCAACAAUACGACUUAGAAGACAAAAAAUAGACAAAGCAUUUGAUUGAAACUUUGAUUAUUAUAAUAUACUUUAUAAUUUAGAAAAUAUGUCCCCCCUUUCACUAAGAUUGUGACCAUUGGACCACCCUGUUUUUUUCUCUUGUGACAGUGUGGAUUGACAAUAAUUUAUCUGUUUAGCUUGAGAGAGUUCAUUUUGACAUUGACUAUGCCACCAUCCACUGGACACAAUGUGUGAAGUGUUAGUCUGUCAUCAGAGACAUUGAAUUCCUUGCAUUCUUCUUAUAUUUCAAUAAAGCAUAAUUCAAGACUUUUGUGUGGACCCCAGGAAGAGUAGCUGCGGCUUUCGUAAUAGCUAAUGGGGAUCCUGAUUCUGAUGGUUUCAGAAGGGACAUUCUGAUGCCUCUAUAUGCAAUACAAAAAUAUGUAAUCAGCAAACAGAAGUGUCAGUGAGGUCCAAAAGUAAAGUAUUUAUACAGUAACUAAUGUUUUGGUUCUGUACUAAACUAUCAUACCCCCCCC